rnacentral:rRNA from 1 species
UACGUAGGUUCCAAGCGUUACCCGGUUUUAUUGGGCGUAAAGCGUCUGUAGGUGGUUUUUUAAGUCUUGUUUCAAAGUCCCUGACUCAAUCAGGGGAAGGGGCAGGAUACUGGAAGACUAGAGUUAUAUCGGGGUUACUGGAAUUUGUGGUGUAGGGGUAAAAUCCGUGGAUACCACAAAGAACACCAAGUGCGAAGGCGGGUAACCAGGUAUACUCUGACACUCAGAGACGAAAGCUAGGGUAGCCAAUCAGAUUAGAGACCUGAGUAGUCCUAGCCGUAAACAUUGUCUGUUAAUUUUCCUCAAUUUAUUGGGGGAGAUGUUAGCUAACGCGUUAAACAGACCGCCUGGGGAGUAUAGCCGCAAGGCCGAAACUCAAACGAAUUGGCGGGGAGGCGCACAACCAGUGGAGCAUGUGGUUUAAUUCGACACGAAGCGAUAAACCUUACCCGGGUUUGAAAUGUUCCUGCAAGCCCCCAGAAACGGGGGAAUCUUUCGAAGGUGGUUCACAGCUGUUGCAUGGCUGUUGUCAGCUCGUGACGUGAGUUGUUCUCUUAAGUGAGGUAACGAGCGCAACCCCUAUCGUAUGUUACUGUGUCAUACGAGUCUUCCCAGCAUUAUUUUGGUGGGAGGAAGGAGGGGACGACGUCAAGUCAUCAUGAUAUUUAUAUCCGGGGCUACACACAUCUUACAAUGGGUUGUUCAGAGGGUUGCAAGACGCACAAGGUGGAGAUUAUCCCUAAAACACUCCUCAGUUGGGAUGGCAGGUUGAAAUUCGCCUGCAUGAACUGGGAUUUGGUAGUA